GACGAACGCUGGCGGCGUGCUUAACACAUGCAAGUCGAACGAAAAGAGGGAAAGAGCUUGCUCUUUCCGGAAUUGAGUGGCAAACGGGUGAGUAACACGUAAACAACCUGCCUUCAGGAUGGGGACAACAGACGGAAACGACUGCUAAUACCGAAUAAGUUCCAAGAGCCGCAUGGCCCAUGGAAGAAAAGGUGGCCUCUACCUGUAAGCUAUCGCCUGAAGAGGGGUUUGCGUCUGAUUAGCUGGUUGGAGGGGUAACGGCCCACCAAGGCGACGAUCAGUAGCCGAUCUGAGAGGAUGAACGGCCACACUGGAACUGAGACACGGUCCAGACUCCUACGGGAGGCAGCAGUGGGGAAUCUUCCGCAAUGGGCGAAAGCCUGACGGAGCAACGCCGCGUGAGUGAUGACGGCCUUCGGGUUGUAAAACUCUGUGAUCCGGGACGAAAAGGCAGAGUGCGAAGAACAAACUGCAUUGACGGUACCGGAAAAGCAAGCCACGGCUAACUACGUG
rnacentral:rRNA from 1 species